CCCUUGAGUUUGAUCCUGGCUCAGGAUGAACGCUAGCUACAGGCUUAACACAUGCAAGUCGAACGGGGAACGGAUUCGUCCGUUCCCAGUGGCAAACGGGUGAGUAACACGUAUCCAACCACCCCGCGACACGGGGAUAGCCUUCUGAAAGGGAGAUUAAUACCCGGUACACUGUUUAUAGCGCAUGCUAUUUUCAGUAAAGUUCCGGCGGUCGCGGACGGGGAUGCGCUCCAUUAGAUAGUCGGCGGGGUAACGGCCCACCGAGUCUAUGAUGGAUAGGGGUUCUGAGAGGAAGGUCCCCCACAUUGGAACUGCGACACGGUCCAAACUCCUACGGGAGGCAGCAGUGAGGAAUAUUGGUCAAUGGGCGAAGGCCUGAACCAGCCAAGUAGCGUGAAGGAUGACAGCCCUAUGGGUUGUAAACUUCUUUUGGUCGGGAAUAACAGACACCACUUGUGGUGUUUUGCAUGUACCGGCCGAAUAAGGAUCGGCUAACUCCGUGCCAGCAGCCGCGGUAAUACGGAGGAUCCGAGCGUUAUCCGGAUUUAUUGGGUUUAAAGGGAGCGUAGGCGGGAAGUCAAGUCAGCUGUGAAAUGCGCACGCUCAACGUACGCCUUGCAGUUGAAACUGGUUUUCUUGAGUGCGUAAGAGGCAGGCGGAAUUCGUGGUGUAGCGGUGAAAUGCUUAGAUAUCACGAGGAACUCCAAUUGCGAAGGCAGCUUGCUAGGCCGCUACUGACGCUGAUGCUCGAAGGUGCGGGUAUCAAACAGGAUUAGAUACCCUGGUAGUCCGCACAGUAAACGAUGGACAAUGGCUAUCGGCGAUACACUGCCGGUGGCCAAGCGAAAGCGUUAAGUUCCCACCUGG
rnacentral:rRNA from 1 species